AAAAACAAAAAUCUAACUAAUGAUUAAGGCCAACUUGAAACAUUCUCUCCCCUAGCAAGAAUAUUCCUAUUCGUCUCCUCCUCCUUGCAAGAAAUGCAACCCAAAACGCCAAGCAAGAAGGGCUUCAGCCUCCGCUCCAUCAUCCUCCACUCCUUGUGGAUAACCAUCAUCGGCAUACUCCUGUUUCUGGAAAGCCACCGCCAACAGAGUCUUUUCCGUCAAAUUAUUUGCAAUAUCCGGUGCUAUUCUUGCCACUGUUCGUUCUGUUCAUCCUCUCCUUUCAACGACUAUUAUAUUAUUAUUCAAAGCCAAUGGCCUGUGAUCUCACAUGUCUUAACUUCAUAUUGUUAGGAGAUGUACGCAAAGAUAUGUGACUUUCUACUGAUGCUUCGGUCUUUUAAAAUUAGUGGAGAAAUGACCUCUGCUUUUGGGCGGAACUGAUGGCAG
rnacentral:lncRNA from 1 species